rnacentral:rRNA from 1 species
AGCGAACGCUGGCGGCAGGCUUAACACAUGCAAGUCGAGCGGGCACUUCGGUGUCAGCGGCAGACGGGUGAGUAACGCGUGGGAACGUACCUUUUGGUUCGGAACAACACAGGGAAACUUGUGCUAAUACCGGAUAAGCCCUUACGGGGAAAGAUUUAUCGCCGAAAGAUCGGCCCGCGUCUGAUUAGCUUGUUGGUGAGGUAACGGCUCACCAAGGCGACGAUCAGUAGCUGGUCUGAGAGGAUGAUCAGCCACAUUGGGACUGAGACACGGCCCAAACUCCUACGGGAGGCAGCAGUGGGGAAUAUUGGACAAUGGGGGCAACCCUGAUCCAGCCAUGCCGCGUGAGUGAUGAAGGCCCUAGGGUUGUAAAGCUCUUUUAACGGGGAAGAUAAUGACGGUACCCGUAGAAUAAGCCCCGGCUAACUUCGUGCCAGCCGCCGCAGUAAAAC